AAAGAACGGUUCAUUCAUUGCCAUGUCCUCAAGUAACCUACUGUUGCUACCAAGAUGUUAUUGUCAGUGAAUUCUGUAGCUGUGACCGUGACACGGCUGCCCUACCCCACCCCCUACCAGCGAGGGAGCACCCAGGAAGGAGAUACGUUAAGACAACAUGGAAGUAAAACCCUACACAACGCACAAACCAAUAGUUAUUCACCCACUUGUUCCCUUCCUGUGCUGCCAGCCCUCCUUUGGCCUGACUCAAGACUAGGAAGGGGCCCAAAGGCACGCCCCUCUCCACCAGCCCCACUCCUUCUCUACAUGGUCUAGCUGCAACCCCCCCCCUUUCCUCACACCCCCAGCCCAAAGCGCCAGAGGCACGAGCUCGCUCGGAGAGAAACAGCGGGCUGCGAGGUGAGAAACAAGGGGGAUGAGGUGCAGCGACCCGCUCCCCCACGCAGAAGAGGGCGGAAAGUUGCUGAGACCAACACCUGAGCAGUCUGGAAAUGGGAACCAAUUCUGCACUUAACGUUCAUUUAUUUUAAAUGUUAACUGGACACAGCCUCCAUUGACAUGAAAGAAUCCCAGAACUAAGGAUAGCUGCACCACGGGAGGAAAAGGGCAAGGAGAGUGUGCUAGGGACUAAUGGAGAACAGCAAGGGGUUGGCACAGCAGAGGUAUGUCAGAGCACUCAGUGCAGCUUCUGGCAACUUCAACUGAACUGUGACAGGACAGAUGGCAAGACAGGAAGGUUGCUUGACUCCCCAAGAGAGGAGUUUCAGGUUGUAAGCCAGGAAAAAAAAAUAACUUUUUCCCUUUA